rnacentral:rRNA from 1 species
GACGAACGCUGGCGGCGUGCUUAACACAUGCAAGUCGAACGGAAAGGCUUCCAGCUUGCUGGAGGUACUCGAGUGGCGAACGGGUGAGUAACACGUGGGUGAUCUGCCCUGCACUUCGGGAUAAGCCUGGGAAACUGGGUCUAAUACCGGAUAGGACCCUCCUUUAGUGUGGGGGGUGGAAAGUUUUUUCGGUGCAGGAUGAGCCCGCGGCCUAUCAGCUUGUUGGUGGGGUAAUGGCCUACCAAGGCGUCGACGGGUAGCCGGCCUGAGAGGGUGGACGGCCACAUUGGGACUGAGAUACGGCCCAG